rnacentral:rRNA from 1 species
UACAGAGGGUGCGAGCGUUAAUCGGAAUUACUGGGCGUAAAGUGUGCGCAGGCGGCCGAGCAUGUCGAGUGUGAAAGCCCCGGGCUUAACCUGGGAACUGCGCUCGAAACUACUUGGCUGGAGUGUGGCAGAGGAAGGUGGAAUUCCACGUGUAGCGGUGAAAUGCGUAGAGAUGUGGAGGAACACCGAUGGCGAAGGCAGCCUUCUGGGCCAACACUGACGCUCAUGCACGAAAGCGUGGGGAGCAAACAGG